rnacentral:rRNA from 1 species
GACGAACGCUGGCGGCGUGCUUAACACAUGCAAGUCGAACGGAAAGGCCCUGCUUUUGUGGGGUGCUCGAGUGGCGAACGGGUGAGUAACACGUGAGUAACCUGCCCUUGACUUUGGGAUAACUUCAGGAAACUGGGGCUAAUACCGGAUAGGAGCUCCUGCUGCAUGGUGGGGGUUGGAAAGUUUCGGCGGUUGGGGAUGGACUCGCGGCUUAUCAGCUUGUUGGUGGGGUAGUGGAUUACCAAGGCUUUGACGGGUAGCCGGCCUGAGAGGGUGACCGGCUACAUGGGGUCUGAGAUACGGCCCAUACUCGUACGGUAGGCAGCAGUGGGGAAUAUUGCACAGUGGGCGGAGGCCUGAUGCAGAAACGCCGGGUGCGGGAUAACGGCCUUCGGGUGGUAAACAGCUUUCGCAUGUGACGAAGCGUAAGUGACGGUACUGGGGAAAGAAGCACCGGCUAACUACGU